rnacentral:rRNA from 1 species
CGGCGAGUGAAGCGGGAAGAGCUCAAAUUUGUAAUCUGACGGUUUCCAGCCGUCCGAGUUGUAGUCUGGAGAAGCGUCUUCCGUGCCGGACCGUGUACAAGUCCCUUGGAACAGGGCGUCGUAGAGGGUGAGAAUCCCGUCUCUGACACGGACUACCGGUGCUCUGUGAUGCGCUCUCGAAGAGUCGAGUUGUUUGGGAAUGCAGCUCAAAAUGGGUGGUAAAUUCCAUCUAAAGCUAAAUAUUGGCGAAAGACCGAUAGCGAACAAGUACCGUGAGGGAAAGAUGAAAAGCACUUUGGAAAGAGAGUUAAACAGUACGUGAAAUUGUUGAAAGGGAAACGCUUGAAGUCAGUCGCGUCUUCCGAGACUCAGCCGGGUCAUCGACUCGGUGUACUUCUCGGUAUUGACGGGUCAGCAUCGAUUUCGACCUUCGGAGAAAGGCUCUGGGAAUGUGGCACCUUUCGGGGUGUGUUAUAGCCCUCUGUCGUAUGC